rnacentral:misc_RNA from 1 species
AGAUAAGAUCAAUAGUUCAAUUGGUCAAGAUCCAAAUUCUAAAUCUUUGAUUGGCGUGCUGGAUAUCUAUGGAUUUGAGAGUUUCAAGACUAAUAGCUUUGAACAAUUCUGCAUCAAUUUAACAAAUGAGAAGCUUCAGCAGCACUUCAAUCAGCAUGUUUUCAAAAUGGAACAAGAAGAGUAUACAAAAGAAGAAAUUAACUGGAGCUACAUUGAGUUCAUUGAUAAUCAAGAUAUUCUAGAUCUGGUAGAAAAGAAACCAGGUGGUAUUAUAGCACUUCUUGAUGAAGCUUGCAUGUUUCCUAGAUCUACUCAUGAAACUUUUGCUCAAAAGCUCUAUCAAACUUUCAAAAACCAUAAACGAUUCUGCAAGCCCAAGUUGGCUCGUUCUGAUUUCACUAUAUGCCAUUAUGCUGGUGAUGUCACGUAUCAAACAGAAUUAUUUCUGGAGAAAAACAAAGAUUAUGUUAUUGCUGAGCACCAGGCACUCCUGAAUGCUUCAACGUGUUCCUUUGUAUCUGGGCUGUUUCCAACAUCAAAUGAGGAAUCCUCAAAACAAUCAAAGUUUUCAUCAAUUGGCUCAAGGUUUAAGGCACGUAGAAUGCACCUUUUUUCUGUCAUGUUUGCUUUUCCUUCUUAUCUUUGCUAUGGUUGGGAGCAUGUUGAAGCAUGAUUUGUGUCAUUGUAUUUUUGCAGCAACAACUGCAAUCUUUGCUUGAAACACUGAAUGCAACAGAACCCCACUACAUUCGAUGUGUCAAGCCUAAUAAUCUGCUAAAGCCAGCUAUCUUUGAGAAUCACAACGUUCUGCAGCAGCUGCGUUGUGGAGGAGUGAUGGAAGCGAUUAGAAUAAGCAUG